CUGAUUAGGCAGUAGGCGGGGCAACGGCCCACCUAACCGACGAUCAGUAGGGGUUAUGAGAGGAAAGUCCCCCACAUUGGAACUGAGACACGGUCCAAACUCCUACGGGAGGCAGCAGUGAGGAAUAUUGGUCAAUGGGCGUAAGCCUGAACCAGCCAAGUAGCGUGCAGGAUGACGGCCCUAUGGGUUGUAAACUGCUUUUGUGCGGGGAUAAAGUACGUGACGUGUCAUGUAUUGCAGGUACCGCACGAAUAAGGACCGGCUAAUUCCGUGCCAGCAGCCGCGGUAAUACGGAAGGUCCGGGCGUUAUCCGGAUUUAUUGGGUUUAAAGGGAGCGCAGGCCGCCCCAUAAGCGUGUUGUGAAAUGUAGGCGCUCAACGUCUGACUUGCAGCGCGAACUGUGGGGCUUGAGUACGCACAACGUUGGCGGAAUUUGCCGUGUAGCGGUGAAAUGCUUAGAUAUGGCGAAGAACUCCGAUUGCGAAGGCAGCUGACGGGGGCGCAACUGACGCUCAUGCUCGAAAGUGCGGGUAUCGAACAGGAUUAGAUACCCUGGUAGUCCGCACGGUAAACGAUGAAUGCCCCGCUAUGCGUACGUUGGUAUGCGUGGCCAAGCGAAAGCGUUAAGCAUCCCGCCUGGGGGAGUACGCCGGCAACGGUGAAACUCAAAGGAAUUGUCGGGGGCCCGCACAAGCGGAGGAACAUGUGGUUUAAUUCGAUGAUACGCGAGGAACCUUACCCGGGCUUGAAUUGUGAGUGAACGACCAAGAGAUUGGAAGGCCCCUCGGGGCACUCAUGAAGGUGCUGCAUGGUUGUCGUCAGCUCGUGCCGUGAGGUGUCGGCUUAAGUGCCAUAACGAGCGCAACCCCUCUCUUCAGUUGCCAUCAGGCUAUGCUGGGCACUCUGGAGACACUGCCACCGUAAGGUGUGAGGAAGGUGGGGAUGACGUCAAAUCAGCACGGCCCUUACGUCCGGGGCUACACACGUGUUACAAUGGCCGGUACAGAGAGUUGCGUGCCCGUAAGGUUACGCCAAUCAUGAAAUCCGGUCUCAGUUCGGACUGGGGUCUGCAACCCGACCCCACGAAGCUGGAUUCGCUAGUAAUCGCGCAUCAGCCAUGGCGCGGUGAAUACGUUCACCGGGCCUUGCACUCACCGCCCGUCAAG
rnacentral:rRNA from 1 species